CUUGGAAAUUUCAGCAUUAUGUUAUUCACUAAGUUUUCCGCUAAUAAAUAAUUGUCAUUUCAUGUCUAUAGUAUUACUAUAUUUCAUAAUUUUCUUCCAGUCACAAUUGUUCUAUUAUUUUUAUUGUUAGUAAAAGCCCGACAACUUUGUGCUGAACCAGGUUUUUCAGUACCUAUCCAGUGUUUUGAAGAACGUGAAUUUCAUUACUUUAAGUUCUUGCAAGUGACGUUUCGCAAAAUGUUAUUGUUUCUUGUAACAAUUAUAUUUUCAUUGUAGAUCAGACAAUAUCAUACUUGUAUAAACCUAUGUCUAUGCUAGUAUUGUGAUCCAAGAAUGCCUUUCAUUUGUUUUCUUGUUUGGCUGUGUGCAUAUUGGUUGUUGGCAGUCUCAAAUUAAUGAGCUCUUUAUAGAUUUAUCUCAACAACUUCAAAAGGUUCUGAUGUUUGACUAUUCCAAAGUAUUAUUUUUAAUGAAACCUUACCUUAGUGAAUUACACAACUAAAUUGAUACCUUUUUGUCUUAUUGUGGUCUCCGUCAUUGCCUGUAUUUACUCUAGAUCGGUAUUGGAGCCUGUCAUAAUUGCGUAAGUCCGCCAGCACCUGUCAUGGUGUGUGAGAGGCCGCCCAGGCUUACUAGUCGAAUACACCAUCAGCACUAAUUAUCAUCUAUCAACAUCGUCAUCGUUAAGAGUAAUUUUUAAUUAUAUGUCCAAUUUUAUAUAAGAUCUGUUAAUGAUUGUACCAGAUAGAUCCGGUCAAAAAACAACCCUCUCCAAUCACUUUAACUUAUAUUUUUAUCAAAAACAUGGUUAUGUGGUAGCUUUGUUAAUAAUAAACUUAGUUAAACAAACUAUGCUAUACUCAGAUGUGACA